AUGUUAGAAAGAAAUUCAGAGAAGGGGGAAAAGACGAGAGGGGAAAAUCAACGUUCUGACAGCGACUUGAUCGGACCGAUGGGCACGCGUGGCACACCUUCUUUCCACACCUCCCGGCUGAAGCUGCUGCAGAAUCCUCAAACCAAUCAACCACCAUCCAUCACCGGAGAGCAGAGCAAGGAAAUCUGUGGACGAUCUGCCCGUCCACCAAAUCCCUUCAGCGCGCCGCCUCCCUCGCCCGCAACUCGCGAGGACUCUGCGGAUCUCACUCAGCGGCAGCAGCAAAAAGAGCGGAGAGAGCAGCCCGCCAUGGCCAUGGUCGCCUCCACCUCCAUCGCCUACCACAAGCCGCGUUUGUCGGUGGUGUGCAGGAAGAAGGACCGGGACAGGGAGCUGGAGCGGGAGAAGGAGCACAAGCACCCCUUCAAGGUCGUCGAGAUCACGCCGCCGCCGCGAUGCCUCGGCGUCCGCUGCUUCCCCACGAACAUCCACUGCGGAGAGAGCGUGACGAUCGAAGGGCAGGCGUACACGGUGUCGGCGGUGACGCACCGGUACCAGCUGCGCAAGGGGCGGUACGAGCCGAGCGAGAAGCGCCUCGACGUUCUCUCCACCGGCAGAUACAUCCUCAACCUCUACCUCGACAGCCUCCUCGACAAGUCCUAGACUCUAUGCUCUACUCUAUACUAAGUACAAAUUUAUUUAUUCUACUACUCCAGCAAAUUUAUUUAUGCAUGUACUGUAACUGUACGUACGUACGCUACUUCUGUGAUGAGGUCGAAAUGAUUUUUAUACAGUAGCAAGUACAUGCGCGCUGAGCCCUUGUGUGAAGGCCGCGCAUGCAUGCACGCAUUUGGUCCGAUACUCUUUGUGUGCAUGGUGAUCACCUUAUGGGCAAUAUGGGGAGCAAGGAAAAAGGCCGUGUAUAAGAAUAUUUUCCAAAGUCCUUUGU
rnacentral:rRNA from 1 species